rnacentral:misc_RNA from 1 species
GAUGAAGAACGUAGCGAAAUGCGAUAAGUAGUGUGAAUUGCAGAAUUCAGUGAAUCAUCGAAUCUUUGAACGCACAUUGCGCCCCUUGGUAUCCCGAGGGGCAUGCCUGUUCGAGCGUCAUUUCACCACUCAAGCCUGGCUUGGUGUUGGGCGACGUCCUCUUUGGGGACGCGCCUCGAAACGCUCGGCGGCGUGGCACCGGCUUUAAGCGUAGCAGAAUCUUUCGCUUUGGAAGUCGGGGCCCCGUCUGCCGGAAGACCUGCUUGCAAGGUUGACCUCGGAUCAGGCAGGGAUACCCGCUGAACUUAAGCAUAUCAAUAAGCGGAGA